rnacentral:rRNA from 1 species
AAUUCGAUGCUACACGAAGAACCUUACCUGGGUUUGACAUGUAGGUGGUAGUGAAUCGAAAGGUGAACGACCCUUCGGGGAGCCUACACAGGUGCUGCAUGGCUGUCGUCAGCUCGUGCCGUGAGGUGUCGGGUUAAGUCCCGUAACGAGCGCAACCCUUGCUCCUAGUUACAAGUGUCUAGGGGGACUGCCGGCGGAAAGCCGGAGGAAGGUGGGGAUGACGUCAAGUCAGCAUGGCCCUUAUAUCCAGGGCUACACACACGCUACAAUGGUCGGUACAAAGGGCAGCGAAACCGCGAGGCGGAGCGAAUCCGAGAAAAGCCGAUCGUAGUUCGGAUAGCAGGCUGCAACCCGCCUGCUUGAAGCUGGAGUUGCUAGUAACCGCGCGUCAGCCAUAGCGCGGUGAAUACGUUCCCGGGGCUGUACAUACCGCCCGUCACGUCAUGGGAGUCGGUAACGCCUGAAGCCGGUAGUCUAACUGGAAACAGGAGACGCUGUCGAGG